CAUAGCCUCAGAAAGGUAAAAAGUGAUCCAGAAACACUUAUUUGUGGCGAUCUGGGUUUGUGUGUUUGUGUGUGUGUGUUUGUAUUGUGCUUGCAACAUUGCCUCAGUGUUUCAGUUGGUGUUGGAGUUCUCAGGUGUGCUGAGGGACAGGUGCGACUCAUUCUGCUGAUUGCUUGGAGGAAUACUUUAGCAGGAGGCUGCCAGCUCUUCAACGCCAGAGUGUUUGCUUACUGUGGUAACAAGCUCAGCCAAUGCUAAGUCUAUGCUUUGUGUUUCUUUCUGGAAUAACUUUGUUUAUGUCCCUUCGCAGACUAAGAAUCUGAACUUUGGAUUUAUGUCACUGGACAACUGACUUUGUGUCCAGGAGUUUUCUGGAUGACCAAGAUUAUCUGCGUUCUGAGGGCUUCAUUUCCUAACUAUUGUUCCCGUCUGGAUUACCGACCAAGCUGGCAGCUUCCUCCAUCUCCAGGACCUAAGCGUACCCUGUCCACCCUCCAACGCAAGUAUCAGCACAAACUAACUAACUCAAUCAUCUCCAAGCUCACCCAAGAAGCACCUAAGAAACCAACAGAACAAACUCUGUUACGACAACUUGGAUACCGAAUCCCUCUACCCCUGGCGACCUGACCUCACCUACAGUGAACUGACAAGAAAGGGAUGGAGGGAGAGGAUGGGAAGACAUACAGCAAAGGUCAAUGGACCGGAACUCAAACCCAUGAACCUGAGGACUAAGGGCUGCUGACACACAGAUUUUCUACUUUGUUGCGUAUGCUGGUGUGUGACUUUUUAGUGAAAAGGUCCCUUUUAAAUAUGAGGUAUGCAUGUUGUUUAAGAUGCACCUAUUUUACAUACACCGUAAGCCGUGUGUAUUAGGAUGUGUUGCUUGUGUAAUAUACAGUGUGCUACGGCAUGACGACACCCUGUGUUUUUUCAUUAUAACUACCUUAAGACAG